rnacentral:tRNA from 1 species
UAGAAGGGUAGCUCAGUUGGUAGAGCAGCGAAUUCCAAAUUCGCCGGUCGCAGGUUCGAGUCCUGUCCCUUCUGU